GGGCUCAUAGCUCAGCUGGUAGAGCAUCGCCCUUUUAAGGCGAGGGUCGUAGGUUCGAGCCCUACUGAGCUCA
rnacentral:tRNA from 3 species